CUCCAUGAUGACAAACAGGGGAUGCAGCACUAGAUUGAGUAUAGAACGAUGUAGCAGAAGACCUCCUAGUACUAUUUGGAA